rnacentral:lncRNA from 1 species
GAACACCUAGGAAAUUCUAAACGGAAAGUCAAUAAGCAAAUGAAUUAAUCAAAAGUUCUUCACAUCUAAAGUAUUGAUAACAACUGUCAUAAUCCUUACUUGGUUCAUGCAUGUUCUGAUGUAGAAAAUGGUGGAUUAAACCUGGUUUUAUAUAAAGCUUAUAGUGCGGUGACAGAAGUGUAAAAAGUUGUCUAGAUCGCGAGUUUAAUUUCCCUAAAUAACACACGGCUAAAAAUGGUCUUAACUUAAAGACAAAUAUGUCUUAUUUGGUUUUUGCCCUGUCGUCAAAAUUUCGUAAGGUCACUUUUUUCUAAAGAGUCGUUUUAAUGACUGGUAGUAAAUUGGAGAGUUUCAACCCCCC